rnacentral:rRNA from 1 species
UACGUAGGUGGCAAGCGUUGUCCGGAUUUACUGGGCGUAAAGGGCGUGCAGGCGGCUUGUUAAGUGCAGGGUGAAAGCUCCCGGCUCAACUGGGAGAGGUUCUUGCAUACUGGCGAGCUCGAGGGAGGCAGAGGAAAGUGGAAUUCCCGGUGUAGUGGUGAUAUGCGUAGAUAUCGGGAGGAACACCUGUGGCGAAGGCGGCCCACUGGUCCGGUACUGACGCUGAGGUGCGAAAGCGUGGGGAGCAAACAGG